UCGCUCCUACCGAUUGAGUGAUCCGGUGAAUAAUUCGGACUGCAGCGCUCUCAGUUCCUGAGCGUCGCUGCGGAAAGUUUAGUGAACCUUAUCACUUAGAGGAAGGAG
rnacentral:rRNA from 1 species